CACAAUUUUCUGCAUAGUAUUUUGAGACAAUCAUCUUUUCAAAUAAAAGCAAAAGAUUUUCUUUCUCCCCCUGCAGCCUGGAAACCAUCCUUGUUACAAGUGACACAACGCAAUAACCCGGUUCUCUCAGUGGGCAGAGGCAAGACAUGGACAUAGUUAUAGCCAUGCUUAUUUCUGUAUGUGCAUUAUGAAUUCACACCAGUACCCAGUAUCUCCAGGUCCUGGCCAGGAUGACAAGGUACUUUGAAAGGUGGUCUGUAUUCUGCCACAGUGUAGUCCACUAAAGCAGGACAGAUUCCACACCAUGUGUGUAUGCGCUUUUCUGGGUCUGUUUGCUGCCAUGUCUGACUGCUCUGUUAUCUUCAAUAUGAUCUUACAACUAUAUGGAAGAUUGAGCUGUGGCUCCAAUGACUACAGUGAGCAUGGCUACUGUGAUUGUGGUCCUAUGGGGAACAUUUGCCAACAACUGAGCGACUCAGACCUGGCUGCAGAGCCAAGGUCCUCCAAUAGGCAUGUGGGCUGGAUGCCAGAGGAGACUUAGCUCAGGGACCUCACACAUUUCUCAUGGAAUGGAGAGCUUAUUUCAACCAACCACCUCAGCCCCGCUAACUGCUGACUUCCCACUUUCUCUAAAUGAGAAACGUGAAGGCAUGUUUGUAUGUUUUAGAUAGUUGUAAGCAUUUUUCAGUGGCUAACUUGCAAUUCGGUCCUUCCUUUGCGUUGGGUUGCUUCAUACCAAAUGCUGCUUUGAAUGUGCUGGAGCCUUACCUAGGUUAGUGUACAUUUAUUCACACAUUAUGAAAAAGAUUCAAUGUGAAGGAAAUGAAGGGACACAGUGUGGUCAUUAUACCGUUCAGAAUAAACACUGUGCGGCCAGUGUCU
rnacentral:lncRNA from 1 species